AGCGAACGCUGGCGGCAGGCCUAACACAUGCAAGUCGAACGGACCCUUCGGGGUUAGUGGCGGACGGGUGAGUAACACGUGGGAACGUGCCUUUAGGUUCGGAAUAGCUCCUGGAAACGGGUGGUAAUGCCGAAUGUGCCCUUCGGGGGAAAGAUUUAUCGCCUUUAGAGCGGCCCGCGUCUGAUUAGCUAGUUGGUGAGGUAACGGCUCACCAAGGCGACGAUCAGUAGCUGGUCUGAGAGGAUGACCAGCCACACUGGGACUGAGACACGGCCCAGACUCCUACGGGAGGCAGCGGUGGGGAAUCUUGCGCAAUGGGCGAAAGCCUGACGCAGCCAUGCCGCGUGAAUGAUGAAGGUCUUAGGAUUGUAAAAUUCUUUCACCGGGGACGAUAAUGACGGUACCCGGAGAAGAAGCCCCGGCUAACUUCGUG
rnacentral:rRNA from 1 species